GCCAGAGGACAGAGAAGUAGUGAAAUCGAGUCCCCUCCUAUAUUGCCCAGAGUUCAGAAGGCCUGAAGGCCACUCCCUGGGGGCUCCUAGAACCAGUCGGGGAGAAAUUUGAAGGGACUGAAAAUAGAACAACAUCUGGGAACGCUUCAACAGCCCAGUGAGCCCGCUUGCCCAGCACUGAGACAUGAAAGUGCCAAGCCAGGAGUCACAUUACGGUAUGAACAUGGCCUCUUGCAUUGAAAGUAUGUGGAGAGUGGAAGAGAAAGGAGGUUUCAAACAUACAAUCAGAAGCAAAUCCAUGGAAAAUUCUUGCCGCCUGCACACAUGUGAAAUUCAAUGGGGCAAAAUAGAACCUGUUAGAAUCCAUGUAUUUGUAAGGUAGUGUUAUAAAUACAUCUGUGUGGAAAAUUG